CAAUUUACGCAUUCUGGCGUCCUAACUUUGUUCUAAUUUCGUUAUGAGCAGUGCAAGCUUUACCGUCAAUCAGGAGUGGCGGAAAUGGUUUCCGCCAUGGCUGCAGGGUGGAACGCGCAGGUCAUCGUGGAGACAUGGUCGCAGGGAGGCCUCAUCGCUACUAGCGUUGGUUUAGCCAUAGCUAGGCGCCACACCGGAGGAAGACACGUCUGCAUAGUCCCCGAUGAGAGGUCCAGAUCAGAGUACGCCGCCAGCAUGGGAGAGGCGGGGAUGUUACUGGAGAUCAUGGUGGGUGAACCGGAGGAGGUGAUGGCUGAGUUGACCGGGAUAGAUUUUUUGGUCGUGGAUUCACGGCGAAAGGAUUUCCCGAGAGUUCUGAGGCUGGCGAAACUGAGCAACAAUGGUGCUGUGCUCUUGUGCAAGAACACGGGUUUUUCUCUCUCUUCCGUCAAAUGGAGGAACCUUCUGGGAGGACAUGGUUCAAGCCGUGGUGUUGUUCGUUCGGUGUUUCUUCCGGUGGGGAAGGGGCUUGACAUGGCGCAUGUCUCCUCCUCCGCCACCACCGGGGGUACUUCGGUCAAUUCACAAUCAUCAGUCAGGGGUAAUAAUGGUAAGAGAUGGAUUAAGCAUGUUGAUCAACGCUCAGGGGACGUCCACUACAUUCGAACUUGAAUUAAUUAGUUAUCAGUUAAUCACUGCUAAACCCUUUUUUAUUAUUUUUUUUCUUUCAUUUUUGUAAAUAGCAGCACGCGUGUAGUUUAGUACUGAGAAGUUAGAAGUAUGAAGUAGAUGUUAUAAGAGGAGAAACAGCAGGACCUACCUACAAUAUUCGGGUAGCAUAUCUUCAAGUUUGAACUUUGAAGCAAGUUCCCUAGUGCUGUUGAGAUGUUAGGUUAUGCUUCUCCAAUUCCAGGUUGUUUUUUCAACCAUUCAUCUAAUAUGGAUCAGAGUAUUUGAGCUUCUGUGGCUGCUACACUCAGAAACCACUAUGGUUUAGAUUU